UUCAAGAAUGACUGGCUGUCUUGUUUUAUUAAAUCCGUAGAUUCCUUGCUUGAACCAGUAAGAAGUUGUAGUUCUGGACACUACAUAGUGGAGGUGCUCACCAAGAUGGAGAAAGAAGGGAAUGCACACUGAUGGAUCAUUGGUGGAAUUGCUGGCCAGCCUCAAGCAGCUGCAGCUUAAACAAAAGAAUAACAUUUUGGCAACUGGACGUGGAAAGGCUCUGCCCUUAUACCUUCUCCCGAGACCCGCUGGUGAGCGCGUGUUAGGUCCACGGUACCCUUAACACACGGAUAGACAAUCCACGUUCCAUCUCACCGGUUUGCUGGGACUCUGCAUACAACACCGGACCAAAUUCGGUAAGGCUACCCCUUUCAGUCAGCGUAAACAUCUCCCUGAACCCGAGGGACUGACCGUUGAUCUUCCGGCACCCCUCUGGUGUUCUUGGAGGUGGGGGA
rnacentral:lncRNA from 1 species